AUUCAAUCUCAAAAAGCACGCAAUUAGGAUCCCUCAUGUUUUAAGAUUAAAGAAGAAAAACAAGAUCGAAUCUUUACCUUUUUCGCGGAUAGAUUUUCACCUCAAUUUGAUGAUCGUAGAAUCGGGUUCUCUUAAAGCCGCACACGCGUCCGGCCUCUAUAGGUAUCCACACGAGAUUCUUGAUUUGAUCAAUGUCCUCACCAGGGUGCUAGUUCCCUUACAAAGGACGUCUUUUUUUGCUAGAAUAUGGAAGAGAGAGAAGAAGAGAGAUGACGGCUAGAGUUUUCUAAAAACUCCCGUAUGUUAUAUAUAUAUAGAAAUAUAAUCCUAUUCCUAAUAAUAUAAUGACAAUUAAGGAUAUGUAUAAAUCUAGAUUUAAAUUUAUCAUUUCCUUAAUUAGUUAGAUUGAUCAAAUCCUAAUUUGAUUCGACUUGAAUUUUAUAUUAAUUUGAUCUUAUCAAAUUAAUAAUGCAAUAUUUGCACAUAAGUCCUCUUAUAAUUUACUAACUAUUAGUAAAUCCUCUCUUGUAACAUUUACACUUUAAUACCACUAAUUUGUAACAAUUACAAAUUAGUCCAAUUAUCAACAUAUUGACAAUUAGGUCCUCCGGCAAUUCAAUAAUCGCGAUUUAGCUAUCCGAUCAAUCACAACCUCUUAUGUGUGUGACCCCAUAGGUUCUAUU
rnacentral:lncRNA from 1 species